GCUGUAGCGAAAUACGUAUGCGGCAGCGCUGGGUGGUGGGCCAUUACUGCGGAGCAGGGUUGACGGAUCUGAGGAUAGUGCGGACGGCCGUCGGUCUCGCGUGGUGAGCCGUGUGGAUCAGAACCCGCGUCCCCGUCUGAUCCGUGGACCAGGAAAUUGGCUUUCCGUGUAGUGAUGGCAGCAGAAACGAAUUGAGGGCAGGACCGAGAUUCUUCUCGGCUACGGCGUGUGUCAUUUGGAAGCUGAAGACCCGGGGACGGAGGCAACUGGCGUCGCCGGCGAGCCGCCAUGGAGUUUCUGGUGCAACUAAUUAGCAGAUUUAGUCUGCUUCAGGAGGUAGGGGAGCCGGUUCCUGUGGUUGUCAAUGUCUCUGCCAUGGCGGAUCUGCAAGUGGCAUUGCAGGCGGAGCGGGACGCAGCGCAACGGCGGUGGACAGCGGCGAAGCACAAAUCUUCUUGGGAAAGGAGGCGGCGGCGAACAGAAGGGAGAGCUCGCCACCAAGGUCGGAGCUGUCGACGGGGAAGAUGAAUCCCCAAGCACCGGGGUGGAACAAAAGGUGGAGAGGCGUCCCAAUGAUAGCCACAACAAGUUCAGGAAGAAUCUUGGAGCACCUUUUGUCAAGGAUUUGAACUUUUCAAGCCAUCUCUGCUCUCUUUCGGCUCCGCUUGAUGGAUGACCAAAAGUAGCUUUAUAUCCCCAUGAAAGUCUCGAAUGUUCCAGUAAGUAUUGUUCAUGUACAUUAUGAAAAUGCUAUUCGGUUGAGUCAUGUUUUUAUUCUGUCAAAUGAUGAUUUUUUUAGUAUAGUUGACAGUAAAAAGUUUAAACCCAUUAGAGAUUAUUAAACAAAUGUUCAUCUGAAAACAGAUUGUGAGGGUUUGAUUGAGAUAUGGAAAAGCCACAAGAAGAAUCGUGCUUCUGUUCUACCUAUUCUCCUUGAAAUCCAAGAGCUCAGUGGUUCUUUUUUUAUUUUCCAGUUCAUCUUUGUAAGGCCUGAGUUAAAUUUAGCUGCACAUUUAACUGCCAAACAUGCUUCUAGCUCCUUGCCGGAGUGUGCGCGGUUCUACUAGGUCCCGGCAUCUCUGAACAAUUGUAUAUAGCAUGAACUUGCUGUUGUUUGUCAAGUAAUAUAAGCUAUUGCUUCCCCCAAAAAAAACACAGUUGGCUUGCAGGGUAAAGACACCAUGCCCGUCGCACAUGACUGCCUUUUGUUUCUGAACAAUCAUAGGUGCAGCACAGCCUUGCAGGACACUGUGCCUGUCACGCGUGACUGCCUAAAAGCCAUGAGGGGUUUUGCAUAGAACCCUACAGAGAAUGUGAUUGUACCACAGUAGAUAGAAGUUUCGACUCCCUCGAAGAGGCGUACAAUUUUUACAACAUAUAUUCAUGGGAGAAAGAUUUUGGCAUAAGGUAUUGGAAGAGCAGAUUGAGUGUAGAGAGGACAUAUUGCAUGCAGGAUAUCGUCUGCGGAUGCUUGGUGAGUACCAUGAAAAUGUGUCCCCGUAUGGUUUGAAACUUUGUUCAGUUUUAUCAAUGAACUGUCCUAUUCCUAAAAUGUAAGCCAUCGAUUUUAUCCGUGUAAAUCAGAUUCCAGUCAAACAUACAGUGAAGAGGUGGACAAAGGAAGCCUACUGCCAGCACACCUGGCCCAUUAUCAUAAGGAUCAAAUGUAUAGGAAUCCAUUCUCGUAUUGACACAUCAGAAUGUACAUGCAGAGGUGCUGAAUGUGAUUUGGACUGCAGAGAAGGGAAAGUUGUGAGUGCGGAUCUGAACUGUUCAUUAUGUAAUUCGAGAUACAGUUUUUAGAGUCAUAACUGACGAUGAUCCAUUUCACAUGUGUUUGUUU